GACAUACAUCCAAUAAUCUUCCACUUAUACUAAAGCCAAUCUACCAUGUAUCAAGCUCCAUCUUCACAAGACAGGUUUUAGUUUUAGGCUAGCUAAGUGACUUACCAGUGGAUCAUCUACAUCAUAUGUGGAGUUUGCUCUCUGUACCUCUAUGUAUUUCUAUUUGAGGUAGUCGCGUGUUCUGCUGCUCUAUGUGCUUGGAUAUCUGGUGAGAUCUAAGCUCCUUAGCAAGGACUAUGGUGCCAUUGUCUUUGUAGUAUAGUAUAAUAGCAUCUGAUGGCAUGACAACCAAUUCUGUAACUAACAUUAGGACCAGAAUGUAUCUCAUACAUCUACAGUGUACUCAGCUUCCAUCGAUCGAUUAUUUGGAAUCUUUUCAAGAUAUCGACAUAGGAACACACUCCAUGACAUAGACAUUCUACCAUCAAUGUCAGACAUAAAAUCUGAAUUGGUGUAUCCUCUCAC
rnacentral:lncRNA from 1 species